GACGAACGCUGGCGGCGUGCUUAACACAUGCAAGUCGAACGGAAAGGCCCUGCUUGCAGGGUGCUCGAGUGGCGAACGGGUGAGUAACACGUGGGUGAUCUGCCCCUUACUUUGGGAUAAGCCUGGGAAACUGGGUCUAAUACUGGAUAGGACCAUGCUGUAGGUGGUGUGGUGGAAAGAUUAGUUUCGGUAAGGGAUGAGCUCUCGGCCUAUCAGCUUGUUGGUGGGGUAAUGGCCUACCAAGGCGUCGACGGGUAGCCGGCCUGAGAGGGUGGACGGCCACAUUGGGACUGAGAUACGGCACAGACUCCUACGGGAGGCAGCAGUGGGGAAUAUUGCACAAUGGGCGCAAGCCUGAUGCAGCGACGCCGCGUGGGGGAUGACGGCCUUCGGGUUGUAAACUCCUUUCAGCCAUGACGAAGCCCUUGUGGUGACGGUAGUGGUAGAAGAAGCACCGGCUAACUACGUG
rnacentral:rRNA from 1 species